CACCUGAGUAUCCUAAAGUCACCAGAUCCCAGCUGAUCUUGGCAGCUAAGCAAGGUUAGACCUGGUUAGUACUUGGAAGGGAGUCCACCAAUUAAUACCAGGUGCUGUGGGGU
rnacentral:rRNA from 1 species